rnacentral:rRNA from 1 species
GACGAACGCUGGCGGCGUGCUUAACACAUGCAAGUCGAACGGAAAGGCCCUGCUUUUGUGGGGUGCUCGAGUGGCGAACGGGUGAGUAACCCGUGAGUAACCUGCCCUUGACUUUGGGAUAACUUCAGGAAACUGGUGCUACUCCCGGAUUGGCGCUCCUGCUGCUUGGUGUGGGUUGUUAAGUUUCGGCGUUUGGGGAUGGACUCGCGGCUUAUCAGCUUGUUUGUUGGGUAGUGGCUUACCAAGGCUUUGACGGGUAGCCGGACUGAGAGGGUGACAGGAGAAAAUGGGACUGAGAUACGGCCCAGAAGGCUACGGGAGGCAGCAGUGGGGAAUAUUGAACAAUGGGCGGAAGCAUGAUGCAGCAACGCCGCGUGCGGGAUGACGGCCGUCGGGUUGUAAACCGAUUUCGCCUGUGACGAAGCGUGAGUGACGGUAAUGGGUAAAGAAGCACCGGCUAACUACGUG